rnacentral:rRNA from 1 species
CAAGCGUUGUCCGGAUUUAUUGGGCGUAAAGCGCGCGCAGGCGGUCUUUUAAGUCUGAUGUGAAAGCCCCCGGCUUAACCGGGGAGGGUCAUUGGAAACUGGAAGACUGGAGUGCAGAAGAGGAGAGGGGAAUUCCACGUGUAGCGGUGAAAUGCGUAGAUAUGUGGAGGAACACCAGUGGCGAAGGCGACUCUCUGGUCUGUAACUGACGCUGAGGCGCGAAAGCGUGGGGAGCAAACAGGAUUAGAUACCCUG